CCGUGCGAAGGCAAGCGGAUCUCUUAAAGCUGUUCUCAGUUCGGACUGCAGUCUGCAACUCGACUGCACGAAGCUGGAAUCGCUAGUAAUCGCGGAUCAGCACGCCGCGGUGAAUACGUUCCCGGGCCUUGUACACACCGCCCGUCACACCAUGGAAGUCUGCAAUGCCCGAAGCCGGUGGCCUAACCUUUAUGGAGGGAGCCGCCUAAGGCGGGACAGAUGACUGGGGUGAAGUCGUAACAAGGUAGC
rnacentral:rRNA from 1 species